GGGGGUGAACGGUCUCGACUUUGGACGUCGAGUCAGGGGAAGCGGGCCGAGGAUCCAGAGUUAUCUCGUUAACGCUCUCUGGAAACCAACAAGCGCCAAUGCUAAGCGCGCUGACUUCGCUCUUGCUGCCUAAGUAAGAGAACGCCGAAGUCUGUCAGCCCGGGAAUGCUUCCGACCCGGAUCCUGGCAUCAGCUAGGGAGAUCACCGCGUAGUUCGGUAGCGGGACGACGCGGGACAUCACACAGCUACUGGGCCUGUCAGCAGAUUCGCCUGUGACACUGCUGGGGCCGAGCAGAACAGCAGCAGGAUGCGCCCGGAGAAGCCCUGGUUCGGUGCCGAAGGACGCGGGUUCGAUUCCCGCCACCUCCACCG
rnacentral:tmRNA from 1 species